UACAUAGGUGGCAAGCGUUGCUCGGUAUCACUGGGCUUAAAGGGCGCGUAGGCGGUGCGGUGCGUUUUCGGUGAAAUCCCUCGGCCCAACCGAGGAACAGCCGGGGCUACGGCCGCGCUAGACGGCAUCAGGGGACAGUGGAACUCCCGGUGGAGCGGUGAAAUGCGUAGAUAUCGGGAGGAACGCCGGUGGCGAAAGCGACUGUCUGGGGUGCAUGUGACGCUGAGGCGCGAAAGCCAGGGGAUCAAACGGG
rnacentral:rRNA from 1 species